AUGUCGACGAACGAGCGACCUGCCGCGUCCGUCGACCCCUACGCCGAGCUCGCCUACUCGCGCGGCCCCUCUCCCCCUUCCGCCUCCCCCGAGCGCCCGCCUCACUCUUCUCUGCUGGGACGUGGUGUUCUCGCGCUCGGCGUGGGGGCCUGCGGCACUGACGCCGUCGAUGACAAGGAGCUCCACCUCGUGCAUCACAAGGACGGCCAGUGCCACAUCAAGGGUUGUGAACCUGUGAUGCAUCAGUGGACGAAUCUGGUUUACGAGAAAGAGACACAUGCGAGCGCUUUGUUUUCUUCUUUCAGGGUGCCUCCUACAGAUACAAGUACAUGCUCAAGUCAGGUAUAUAUUUUUGUUUCUUUGUCCACCGGUUAG
rnacentral:rRNA from 1 species